GCGACUAUAGUCUAGUGGUUAGGACAGUGGCUUCCCAAGCCUCUAACCCGGGUUCAAAUCCCGGUGGUCGCA
rnacentral:tRNA from 2 species